rnacentral:tRNA from 1 species
GCUGAGGUGGCCGAAAGGUCAAAAGGCCCGGGAACGGUAAGGCGCAGGAUUGCUAAUCCUGUGGGCUCUGCCCUUGAGGGUUCGAAUCCCUUCCUCAGCG